rnacentral:sRNA from 1 species
AACUGCUCCCCCUGAGGAUAAUCCUGUAGAAGAUUCACAGGUAAUUGUAGAAGAAGUAAGCAUUUUUCCUGUGGAAGAACAACAGGAAGUACCACCAGAAACAAAUAGAAAAACAGAUGAUCCAGAACAAAAAGCAAAAGUUAAGAAAAAGAAGCCUAAACUUUUAAAUAAAUUUGAUAAGACUAUUAAAGCUGAACUUGAUGCUGCAGAAAAACUCCGUAAAAGGGGAAAAAUUGAGGAAGCAGUGAAUGCAUUUAAAGAACUAGUACGCAAAUACCCUCAGAGUCCACGAGCAAGAUAUGGGAAGGCACAGGUAUUCUGAGACCCUUCUCCUUAGGAUACUUUUUCAUGUGUUUUGUGUAAUUGAAUUUUUUACACCUCACUAUUUUCCCUUUCUAAUUUCUAUACAGAAUCAGUUUCUCACGUAUAUGCAUAAGCAAGAAAUACAAUUAUCACUAUUGCAUGCUGCUGAAUUUA